ACUUGCUUCGCCUCUGGCUAUAAUUAGCUUUUUCAGAAAAUACCAUGGCGAGACAUUCUUUCUGACAACAUUGUCUGAGACUAAUUGUCAUGACAUUUAAAUAAUUCUGGAUACAAGCCUUUCGGUGUGUACCAGCCUGGUCCCUACAUCAUGUACAGCUCUGUGGAUUCCAACGGCCACCUGAAGAACUCAUCCGGAGAUAAGGAAGCAGGAGUGGACGGCCAUCAUCCCCAACUCUCAGCUUAUCGUUAUCCCUUACCCUCACGGUGAUCCUCGCAGACCUUUUGGAAACCGCAGUAUUGCUGAAGAGUAUAUUCUGAAGGACACCAGUAAUGUCAGUGGACCUAAAAAUGAACUAGAUGGCUGGAGUGCAGAACUUUACCUGACUCCUAGUAAUAUUGCGCUGCUGACAGCCAUCGCACUGAUCGAAAGCAGAUGACCGGGAGAAGAGACAAGAAGCACACCACUUCCACUUUGAUGCCAUGUGAGAUCAUCCGAAACAGAUGAGGAAACAGUCCAUGGAGAUUCUAUCACAGGGGCAUCUUGGGAAAUGGGAGCAUUUGUGCAUCAACUGGAAUAUUAAUUUAUUUACACUGCUGCUUGUUAAUUAAUAUAAUGAUGGAGGGUUUGUAAGUAUGACAUCUAAUAAAAAACAAGCUUAUGACCACCUAUUUAUUUAUUUGUAUUUAUUUAAUAUUAAAUGUUUAUACCUGGGUGUUUUCUGACUGUACUUCUGUGUCUGUCAGGAAAGAGGGGCUAAAAAUUAAAACAAAUUCAGUAUUUAUGUCAGACGUGGUGAAACUAAUUUUGUUUUGUAUGUGUGCUCAUGUGUUAUGCAGCCUGUAUGUGUGUGGAAAUGUGUUGAUCUUCAUUUAAAAUUUUCAAUUCCAGUCAAAUUGACUUUUUUAACACUGCUGUGUGUACACUGGCGCAAUGUCUUAGCAAUGUGAAUGUCUGUUACUGUGAAGUGUGCUGUAAUGUUCGAGUCACUCUCAAAAUAUUCUGUAGUCCAAGCUGCUGGGCUGCUCUCUAUGCACCCAACAAACCCCAACCAGCUGCCAGUGCUUCCUUCUUUCUCCAAUCCCCACUGGCACCACUUGCCUCUUAGAACUGUUGCCCAUCAUUCCUUGUCAGUGAGACCCUUCUCUGCACUUACACACUCUAGCACUAGAGCCAGUCAGGGUAAUGCUGGUGGGAACUGCACUGAAGAACCACGUCUUCUCCAACUCCAAGCUAAGCUUUGUGUUGCUGUUGUUGCUUGUCUGACUUAUGGGCAUUUUCUGGGGUGCUCAGGAUUCUUUACAUUAUUUGGACAUUACAAAAAAUGACUUUAAAAAAACAUUGACAUUGGAUUUUAAUUUCUUAAUUGUGUCCAUUUAAAGAUAACAAACGUGCUAGGAAACUUGCAGAUGUUUA